rnacentral:rRNA from 1 species
AAUAUUGGGCAAUGGGGGAAACCCUGACCCAGCAACGCCGCGUGAAGGAAGAAGGUCUUCGGAUUGUAAACUUUUGUCUUUGGAGACGAACAGAUGACGGUAUCCAAGGAGGAAGCCACGGCUAACUACGUGCCAGCAGCCGCGGUAAUACGUAGGUGGCGAGCGUUGUCCGGAAUUACUGGGUGUAAAGGGUGCGUAGGCGGGACAUAAAGUCAGAUGUGAAAUACCAAGGCUUAACCUUGGGGCUGCAUUUGAAACUUAUGUUCUUGAGUGGAGUAGAGGCAAGCGGAAUUCCCAGUGUAGCGGUAAAAUGCGUAGAUAUUGGGAGGAACACCAGUGGCGAAGGCGGCUUGCUGGGCUUUAACUGACGCUGAUGCACGAAAGCAUGGGGAGCAAACAGG